UCUGCCGAAAACUGGACUGCCGCCGCCUCAAUACCACGGCCGACGCCCCCUAUUCUACAUCCUGCUUCAUCUCUUCUCCGGCCGAACGGUCGGAGCCACCGCCGCCGCGGCCUGUAGCAGGUAAAACCCUAACUUUAUUCAUUUUCUUUUCCCUAUUCUAAUUUCUCUUUUAUGUAAAAUUAAAAACUGAAAAUCCUCCCUCUAUUUUGCUCUUUCCAUCGCGUCGUCCGCCGUGCUUCGCCAAUGUUCAUCUGCCCAGGUAACCCCAUGCGCCGCCUCAACAAGCAACGGACGAGCGUUCGGGACGGACGGAGUUGAACGCACCUCCAGCUCUGAAAUCAACUCUUUCGGUCAGCUUCGGUACCUAUUGAUGAGGAGAAGCCUACCUUCGCGUCGCCUUUCCCUUCUUCCAAGCGCCGCAGCCAACAACAACGAGGCCACUUCUCCUUCAUUGAGCCACCUUCCGACGAUGAGUGGGAGAGUGGCUUUUCUGCAGAUCUGAGAAAUUUGAGGUAGAUCUACAGAGAUGUAGUGUUGAAAUUGGGGAGGUGUGAGAUUGCCUUUUUGUAGAAAUUUGUUCUUUCUAUUCUGUUGUUGAAAUUUGUUGAAGAAAUUGUUAGAAUUUGUUGUAGAGGAUAAAGAUUUGUUGAAAUUUGUUGUUCAAAUUUGCAGAA